rnacentral:rRNA from 1 species
GACGAACGCUGGCGGCGUGCUUAACACAUGCAAGUCGAACGGAAAGGCCCUGCUUGCAGGGUACUCGAGUGGCGAACGGGUGAGUAACACGUGGGUGAUCUGCCCUGCACUUCGGGAUAAGCCUGGGAAACUGGGUCUAAUACCGGAUAGGAGCCAUUUUUAGUGUGAUGGUUGGAAAGUUUUUUCGGUGUAGGAUGAGCUCGCGGCCUAUCAGCUUGUUGGUGGGGUAAUGGCCUACCAAGGCGGCGACGGGUAGCCGGCCUGAGAGGGUGGACGGCCACAUUGGGCUGAGAUACGGCCCAGACUCCUACGGGAGGCAGCAGUGGGGAAUAUUGCACAAUGGGCGCAAGCCUGAUGCAGCGACGCCGCGUGGGGGAUGACGGCCUUCGGGUUGUAAACUCCUUUCGCUAGGGACGAAGCUUUUUGUGACGGUACCUAGAUAAGAAGCACCGGCUAACUACGUG